UACGUAGGGGCCAAGCGUUGUCCGGAUUUAUUGGGCGUAAAGAGCUCGUAGGCGGUUGGGUAAGUCGGGUGUGAAAACUCCAGGCUCAACUUGGAGAUGCCACCCGAUACUGCUCUGACUUGAGUUCGGUAGGGGAGUGGGGAAUUCCUGGUGUAGCGGUGAAGUGCGCAGAUAUCAGGAGGAACACCGGUGGCGAAGGCGCCACUCUGGGCCGAAACUGACGCUGAGGAGCGAAAGCGUGGGUAGCAAACAGG
rnacentral:rRNA from 1 species